GAUGAACGCUGGCGGCGUGCCUAAUACAUGCAAGUCGAGCGGACCAAAGAGAGCUUGCUCUCUGAGGUUAGCGGCGGACGGGUGAGUAACACGUGGGUAACCUGCCUGUAAGACGGGGAUAACUUCGGGAAACCGAAGCUAAUACCGGAUGAUAAAGAGAAACGACUGUUUCUUGUUUGAAAGUCGGCCUUGUGCUGACGCUUACAGAUGGGCCCGCGGCGCAUUAGCUAGUUGGGGAGGUAACGGCUCACCAAGGCGACGAUGCGUAGCCGACCUGGGAGGGUGAUCGGCCACACUGGGACUGAGAAACGGCCCAGACUCCUACGGGAGGCGGCAGUAGGGAAUCUUCGGCAAUGGACGAAAGUCUGACCGAGCGACGCCGCAUGAGCGAUGAAGGCCUUCGGGUCGUAAAGCUCUGUUGUCAGAGAAGAACAAGUACCGGAGUAACUGCCGGUACCUUGACGGUACCUGACCAGAAAGCCACGGCUAACUACGUGCCAGCCGCCGCAGUAA
rnacentral:rRNA from 1 species